rnacentral:rRNA from 1 species
AGCAGUCGCCGCGGGAAUACGUAGGUGGCAAGCGUUGUCCGGAAUUAUUGGGCGUAAAGGGCUCGCAGGCGGUUUCUUGAGUCUGAUGUGAAAGCCCCCGGCUCAACCGGGGAGGGUCAUUGGAAACUGGGAAACUUGAGUGCAGAAGAGGAGAGUGGAAUUCCACGUGUAGCGGUGAAAUGCGUAGAGAUGUGGAGGAACACCAGUGGCGAAGGCGACUCUCUGGUCUGUAACUGACGCUGAGGAGCGAAAGCGUGGGGGGCGAACAGGAUUAGAUACCCCCGUAGUCCCUGUCUCUUAUAA